AACGAACGCUGGCGGCAGGCCUCAAACAUGCAAGUCUAGGGGGUGUAGCAAUACAUCACCGGCGGACGGGUGCGUAACGCGUGGGAAUAUACCUAUCGAUUCGGAACAACUGAGGGAAACUUCAGCUAAUACCGAAUACGUCCUAACGGAGAAAGAUUUAUCGUCGAUAGAUUAGCCCGCGUUCGAUUAGCUAGUUGGUGGGGUAACGGCCCACCAAGGCGACGAUCGAUAGCUGUUCUGAGAGGAAGAUCAGCCACACUGGGACUGAGACACGGCCCAGACUCCUACGGGAGGCAGCAGUUGGGAAUCUUGGACAAUGGGGGAAACCCUGAUCCAGCCAUGCCGCGUGAGUGAUGAAGGCCUUCGGGUUGUAAAACUCUUUCGCGCACGACGAUAAUGACGGUAGUGCGAGAAGAAGCUCCGGCUAACUUCGUGCCAGCAGCCGCGGU
rnacentral:rRNA from 1 species